rnacentral:rRNA from 1 species
GGCUCAGAACGAACGCUGGCGGCGCGUUUAAGCAUGCAAGUCGAGCGGCAAGGGCCUUCGGGCCCCUAGAGCGGCGGACGGGUGAGUAACACGUGGACAGUCUGCCCCCCGGCCCGGGAUAGCCCAGGGAAACCUGGAUUAAUACCGGAUGAGACGGGACCCGCGAUGGCGGGACCCGGGAAAGGCGCUGCGGCGCCGCCGGGGGAUGAGUCUGCGUCCCAUUAGCUAGACGGCGGGGUAACGGCCCACCGUGGCGACGAUGGGUAGCCGGCCUGAGAGGGUGGACGGCCACAUUGGAACUGAGACACGGUCCAGACUCCUACGGGAGGCAGCAGCUAAGAAUCUUCCGCAAUGGGCGAAAGCCUGACGGAGCCGACGCCGCGUGAACGAAGAAGGCCGUGAGGUUGUAAAGUUCUUUUCGGGAGGGGGAACAACCGUGGCAGGGAAUGGCCGCGGGAUGACGUGAAUCCCGGAAUAAGCCCCGGCUAACUACGUGCCAGCCGCCGC